CAAGGCAGACAGACUAUCUGCAUUUAGAAAUAUUUAAUUUCACUGGGCAUUUCAGGAGAGCCAGAAAGGCUUUGCUGGACUCUAAGGAAACUCCCAUGCACAUUUCACUUGACCUAUGCAGAUUUUGUAAGAUCAAGUUUUUACAACAGAAAUGUCCUUUUUUUAAUUAAAAAAAACCCUAAUAGAGCCAUUUAAAAAAAAAUCACCCCUCUCUUGCAGUGUUUGCAGCCAAAAUGCAGCAGCAUGGAGUUAGUGCCCGAGGACUAAGAGGUGAAAUGGAUUAUGAAAGUGAAACUGGUCAUUUUGUUUGCUCAGGCUAGGAGGAAACAAAACUUUGAGGAGGAGCAGAAACAGUGAAAAGGAGAUGAGAUGUUUGCACAGCCUUCAGAUUUUACUAAUCUCAGCUAUUAUAAGCAACACAGGAAAAAAAACGAUGUAUGUAGGCAGGUCAUAGAUUUGAAGCUCAGAUGGAUGGUGGUAAUGAGCUAUUCUGAUCUUGUGCAUGACACAAGCUACAACGUUUUACGUGAUCAUUCCUGCAUCAGGCUGGGUACCUCGUGGUGAAGCUGAAGUGUCUAUUUUCAAAAUGAUUUUGUAGGAUUAUUUUUAUUAUGCGUUACUUUUCUGGCACCCCCUCAUCAAACAGAUCUUUUUCUGUGCAAGGCCUUGUACAGACCAAACACAAAGCUAAUUCCUCUGCAAAGACUCUGCUGCCACCGAAGUUAGUGAUGGGACAAAUUGGGAAGGAUUGGACCCUGAAUUAGCAGAGGAAGGGUUGCCAGAAUGACUUCCCCAAGCAGCAAGGUGUAACUCUUUUACAUUUGCUCUGGGACCCAAGCUCCUGCUCGUCCAAAUCCAGUGCCCUUUGAGCGUUUGACGGUAUUUUAAAAUCUACGAUGGGAUGUAGGCAGAAAUCAUUUUCCCCCAGAUGUUCAUGCUGCCUUUACAGAAUGGUGAUUUCUGCACCAUUUUGCCUUCUCUGCUGUAUUUAAACCCAAGCUGAGGCAGCACAAGGGGGUGAACGAUCAGACGUGAAUGAACACAGAGUGAUUUCGGGUGCCAGGGACAAGCAGGGUAGAGGUGCUGGUUGGGACAGCUGCUGGGUGCUGUGACAAUAAAUGCUUGUUUCUCUGCUGCCCAUUGCAGCUGUUUGGAAAAUGGGGUUGGGGGAGGAGCAAUUUGUAUUUUGUGAAUAAGGACCAGCAUAAAUGACCUCUUAGCGCCUGGUGACUUAUCCUACAUUGAGGAAGCGCUUGCCCGUUGCACUUUGGAAGAUGCUAUCGGCCACCCAUUGAUGUGUCUUUGCUCUUUUGUUUUUUUACAUAUUUUAAAAGAGCAUAAUUUGGAAAAUAAAGAACGCAACAAAAACCACGAUACAAUGUGUCUGGGCAAGGCAAUAGAUAACCGUUUGGCAGAAGCUCAUGCCUCCCGAAUGCAUGCAAAGCCCACCUGCCUGGAUAUCAUCCUAAACACUGAUUGUGAAGAAAGAACAGAAUAAAACAUUUACAUCUGUAAGUUGAUUAAGUGCAGUCCCGUUGGGCCCAAUCCAUUCCCCUUUAAAGACACAGGAAGUGUUGCUAUGGAUAUUAACAAGAGUCAGACUUGGCCUUUAGCGUAGGGGCGCUUUUGCACCAUUGAACGGACAUGAAACUAUACAGCUCCUUCUGUUGAAAGAGGAUGCUGACACCAGAGACCUCCUGGGCUUCGUUCUGGUUUCCAGUUGCCUGUGCUUUCUGUCCCGAUCUCCAUCCGAACAGAUUUUUAGAGCGCUCUUCUGCAACGAAAAUUGAUCAGUUCAACACAUACCAUCUCAGGCCCAGGUUGGCCCUUUCAUGCUGAAUCCUUGGACUAAAUCCCCUGCUUUUCCUCAGUAAUUUCCUCAAUUAUCCACUUUGUUUUACAGACGUUUAGGUUUAAUGUGGAUUUUGCUGUAAAAGUUUUGUGAAGACCUCGCAAAGGAAAUCAUUAGCUUGCAUCCACUUAAACGUAUCUAGCAAAACCUUGAGGCUAAAGCAACAGGGGAGGGGAGGAGCGGGGGGAGAGAGAUAAACCAUAAUAUACCAGGAGCCUUUAACAAAUAGGUUAUUUUUCUUUGCGUAUACAAUGCACCAUUAUGUGCUUUUUUUCCAAUGAGAACAAUGCCAGCAACAGUGAUGGGAAACUGGGGAAACAAAAGGGGCAUUUAUAAAGAACUGGUUUAGAGGCUGAAAAGCAUUGAAUAACGUUACACCUGAUCACAGAUACUUGCUCAGAGGUCAUCAGCCAAUUUAACACCACAAUAUUUACUUGAAUGAUACAUAACACGGCUCUAAACACAGCAAUUAUGAGUGCUUAGUCUCCGACUGUUUUAUUGAAAUCGUCUAAGAAAUAUAGACUCCAUCUCGAGGUCGGAUUUUUUCCUAUCCUGCGAAACACGACGCUGAAAUCACGCCAUCCUC